rnacentral:rRNA from 1 species
UACGGGGGGGGCAAGCGUUGUUCGGAAUUACUGGGCGUAAAGGGCUCGUAGGUGGCCAACUAUGUCAGACGUGAAAUCCCUCGGCUUAACCGGGGAACUGCAUCUGAUACUGGAUGGCUUGAGUUUGGGAGAGGGAAGCGGAAUUCCCGGUGUAGUGGUGAAAUGCGUAGAUAUCGGGAGGAACACCAGUGGCGAAGGCGGCUUUCUGGUCUGCUCUUGACGCUGAGGCGCGAAAGCUAGGGUAGCAAACGGG